rnacentral:lncRNA from 1 species
AAAAAAGCGAGGUUGGGAGAGGAGUUAACGGCUGUAAAAAAAAAAGAAAACAGGAAAUGAAAGGCUGAGGGAGAUCGAGUGAGAGGAAGACCGAGAGCAAAAGAGAGGGGACGGGCUGAGUGAAAAGCGAAGAGGGAGAUAGCUAGAGAAAAGAACGGAAAAGGAAGAGCUUUCUGGGCAAAGAAAUCAAACAGAGAGGAAGACUGUUUUUUUUAAGAGAGAAAGAAACAGAAAGCUGAGGGUUUUGACGGUGGAAAGAGUAAAAGAGAGAGCUUUAAGAGUCUGGGGGAGAGCAGCCGGAAGAGGAAGCCGCAACCAGGAGGGAGACCGAGAGAAACCCAAGCAGCGACUUCAUCAGAAUCUGCAAUCGAUUUCUUCAUCACCCAAGCUGAAGCUUCAAACCCAAAGGUGGUCAACAGGUAGCUUUCCACCCGUUCUCUUGUCUAUUUUCAGUUCAUAUGAAAUCUAGUUUGCAUAGCCAGAGAUUCUGGGUUCUUGCUCAUAUUUGGAUGAUGAAUUGUUGUGUAAAGUCGGGUGCUUUAUUUGAAUUUCUGGACAUGAAAACCCGAAAUUUAUGAAUCAAAAGCUGGUAGCUUUCGUGUUUUUUUUUUCUUUUUCUUUUUUCCCUGAGAAAUCAAAGGAGUAUGGCCCA